rnacentral:tRNA from 1 species
GCCUGGCUAGCUCAAUCGGUAGAGCGUGAGACUCUUAUUAUCUCAAGGCUGUGGGUUCAAGCCCCACGUCGGGCU